GACGAACGCUGGCGGCGUGCUUAACACAUGCAAGUCGAACGGAAAGGCCCUGCCUUGGGGGGGUGCUCGAGUGGCGAAGGGGUGAGUAACACGUGAGUAAGGUGUCCUUGACUGUGGGAUAACUUCAGGAAACUGGGGCUAAUACCGGAUAGGAGCUCCUGCUGCAUGGUGGGGGUUGGAAAGUUUCGGCGGUUGGGGGUGGACUCGCGGCCUAUCAGCUUGUUGGUGGGGUAGUGGCUUACCAAGGCUUUGACGCGUAGCCGGCCUGGUAGGGUGACCGGCCCCAUUGGGACUGAGCUGCGGCCCAGCCUCCUACGGGAGGCAGAAGUGCGGAAUAUUGCACAAUGGGCGGAAGCCUGAUGCAGCCCCGCCGCGUGCGGGAUGACGGCCUUCGGUUUGUAAACCGCUUUCGCCUGUGACGAAGUGUGAGUGACGGUACUGGGUAAAGAAGCACCGGCUAACUCCGUG
rnacentral:rRNA from 1 species